rnacentral:lncRNA from 10 species
UGUUUACUCAUGUAACCUCCAGAGGUAUACUGCGUUGAUCACGACCUUCACUCUUUCGGCCUGCAACACCUCCCCUCUUCCUGGGUCCAGGCCCCAGACCCCGCCACGCCUCCUCUUAACCUACAUGAUCAGGGCCAGGCAGAGGAAAAGAAGAGCCGUGAUGCCGAUUCCCAGAAACGCUCCGUUGGAGAAUGCCGUUGAGAUGAGUCCCUUCUUAUCUGCACACGGAGAGGGCAAGAUGCCACGGGUCUGCUGUGUCCCUCCAAGCUCCUGCUCCAACCACAGGACCCUACUCUUUGCCCCAGUCAGCUUCUCCUCCAAGAACCUUGGCAUCCAGGCGGCCCCCUAACCUGGCAGCUGCAGGAUGGAUCCACUCUGGGCCCCAUGGACGUUCCAGGCCUCACAGCGGAGCCUGAGGCCGGAGCUGAGCCCUCCAUGGAGGCUCAGGGAGCUGUUGGCCCAGGGCCCGGCUGAGCUGGGGGUGACCUCGAA